rnacentral:rRNA from 1 species
GAUGAACGCUGGCGGCGUGCCUAAUACAUGCAAGUCGAGCGAACAGACGAGGAACUUGCUCCUCUGACGUUAGCGGCGGACGGGUGAGUAACACGUGGAUAACCUACCUAUAAGACUGGGAUAACUUCGGGAAACCGGAGCUCAUACCGGAUAAUAUAUUGAACCGCAUGGUUCAAUAGUGAAAGACGGUUUUGCUGUCACUUAUAGAUGGAUCCGCGCCGCAUUAGCUAGUUGGUAAGGUAACGGCUUACCAAGGCAACGAUGCGUAGCCGACCUGAGAGGGUGAUCGGCCACACUGGAACUGAGACACGGUCCAGACUCCUACGGGAGGCAGCAGUAGGGAAUCUUCCGCAAUGGGCGAAAGCCUGACGGAGCAACGCCGCGUGAGUGAUGAAGGUCUUCGGAUCGUAAACCUCUGUUAUUAGGGAAGAACAAAUGUUGAAGUAACUACGCACGUCUUGACGGUACCUUAUCAGAAAGCCACGGCUAACUACGUG